rnacentral:rRNA from 1 species
GAUGAACGCUGACAGAAUGCUUAACACAUGCAAGUCUUUGGCGAAGCUGUGCUUGCACAGCCUAGCCAAGGCGGACGGGUGAGUAACGCGUAAGGAACUUGCCCUGCAGUCAGGGAUAACAGACGGAAACGACUGAUAAGACCUGGUAAAGUCAGGCGGACUCAUGUCCAGCCUGAUGAAAAGAGAUGCUGCAGGAGAGCCUUGCGUCCUAUUAGCUUGUUGGUGGGGUAACGGCCCACCAAGGCGAUGAUAGGUAGCCGGCCUGAGAGGGUGGACGGCCACAAGGGGACUGAGAUACGGCCAUUACUCCUACGGGAGGCAGCAGUGGGGAAUAUUGGACAAUGGGGGCAACCCUGAUCCAGCAAUUCUGUGUGCACGAUGAAGGUUUUCGGAUUGUAAAGUGCUUUCAGCAGGGAAGAAAAAAUGACGGUACCUGCAGAAGAAGCGACGGCUAAAUACGUG